ACUGAAAAAAGGCAAACUUGUUGAAAGGCAAGGACGCAAAGCCGUGGACCUAAAGGAUCUCUUGAUUUAUGGUAGCCAGGCUGCCAGG
rnacentral:ncRNA from 1 species